CAGCAGCCGCGGGAAUACGGAGGGAGCUAGCGUUGUUCGGAAUUACUGGGCGUAAAGCGCACGUAGGCGGCUUUGUAAGUUAGAGGUGAAAGCCUGGAGCUCAACUCCAGAAUUGCCUUUAAGACUGCAUCGCUUGAAUCCGGGAGAGGUGAGUGGAAUUCCGAGUGUAGAGGUGAAAUUCGUAGAUAUUCGGAGGAACACCAGUGGCGAAGGCGGCUCACUGGACCAUUACUGACGCUGAGGUGCGAAAGCGUGGGGAGCAAACAGGAUUAGAUACCCCUGUAGUCCCUGUCUCUUAUAU
rnacentral:rRNA from 1 species